rnacentral:misc_RNA from 1 species
CUGAGGGAUCCGCACAUGUCAAACUACAAAUAUUCUUGACUAGCUUAUCAUUUGGACUAGGCUUACGUGCAAUACAACGACAAAUUAGUUCAGCAAGUGCCUCAGCAGCCUUGUAUUGUAAUAUUUCCUCCUGCUCUCUUUUGAUCGAGGCCAUUAGAGGUAAAAUGAUUGGAUUAAGUCGUGCAGGAAGCUCUGACAUCCAGACAACUGCAGCGGCAACUAAAGCAGAGACAGUAACAUGCAAGUUACUCUGUACACAUUUCAAAUAGCCUGCAGUUGUCAAAAGUCUGUGCUUUGAUGAUUCAAUAUCAUCCACAAUGUUUCGUCCCAUAGGUUCAUUCACAGUACCUUCAUUACAUAAUGGAGGCAACAUUGAAGUAAGAUUGAUUGCCUUAUCAGCACUCAAGCUUUCCAGAUCUACUCUAAUAGAUGAUAGUAUUAUCAAACAUCCCAGAGGACUCGAUGGCGUGUAGUAACUGACUAGCCUCAUUGUGCAUCUUCGUAUACGUCCUUGAAAGCUCAGAAUAUGGAAGAACUGAAUCUUUUGUAGGAAAUGCAGGGUCAGAACAUGAUAAUAAAUCCAACAACCAACUCUUAACAUGAUUAGGAAAAGCAGGUAUAACUCCAUGUUUUUCAGACAGGUCAUUGCUGUUGAUCUCUUUGAACCAUGAUAUAAGAACCAUGGAUGCCACCUGCCGCUGGACCCCAGAAGAAGAGGCAAGAGCAUUCCACAGUGCAUCUACUACAUAUAGAAAAGAUCCCUCACGCAACUUAGAAGCAAAAAUUCCCAAUGCUGAUGCUGUAAUCACUCGAGUAUUAGUUAUUGACAUUUCAACAUCAGCACCAACAAUAAUCUUUACUGUACUAGCAGAAGCAUCUCCAUUUCUUUCCUGUGGAAU